rnacentral:rRNA from 1 species
UAACAUUUGGAAACAGAUGCUAAUACCGCAUAAGAUUACAGUACCGCAUGAUACAGUGAUCAAAGGAGCAAUCCGCUGAAAGAUGGGCUCGCGUCCGAUUAGAUAGUUGGUGAGGUAACGGCUCACCAAGUCGACGAUCGGUAGCCGGACUGAGAGGUUGAACGGCCACAUUGGGACUGAGACACGGCCCAGACUCCUACGGGAGGCAGCAGUGGGGAAUAUUGCACAAUGGGCGAAAGCCUGAUGCAGCAACGCCGCGUGAGGGAAGACGGUUUUCGGAUUGUAAACCUCUGUUUUCGGUGACGAAUAAAUGACGGUAACCGAGUAGGAAGCCACGGCUAACUACGUGCCAGCAGCCGCGGUAAUACGUAGGUGGCAAGCGUUAUCCGGAAUUACUGGGUGUAAAGGGAGCGCAGGCGGGAUAGCAAGUCAGCUGUGAAAACUAUGGGCUCAACCCAUAGAUUGCAGUUGAAACUGUUAUUCUUGAGUGGAGUAGAGGCAAGCGGAAUUCCGAGUGUAGCGGUGAAAUGCGUAGAUAUUCGGAGGAACACCAGUGGCGAAGGCGGCUUGCUGGGCUCUAACUGACGCUGAGGCUCGAAAGUGUGGGGAGCAAACAGGAUUAGAUACCCUGGUAGUCCACACUGU